rnacentral:rRNA from 1 species
AUUCAACGAAGAGUGUUCUUUUACAAGAAUACUGCUCGUUGGGUUAUACAACCCACGAAUUGCUCUUUAACAAUUAGGAAGAAGCACAACGAAGGUGUGUUGUCUAAUAAACGCAAAGCGAUUAGUCGCCUUGUGAUGACAAUACACGGGUUGUGAUUGCAACAGAACAAAUUAUGUUCAACGAAAGUUCUCAAAAAUAUAGACGUUGUUCGGUCUUCGGAUUGAAUAACAGCUAAGGAUUGAUGAACGGCAACAACGUAUACUCAUAUUCCUAUAACAGCACCAAGCGUUAUAGGAUCAAGCGAAUAAGUGCAUAUGAUGGAUGCCUUGGCGAUCACAGGCGAUGAAGGACGCGGUAGCCUGCGAAAAGCUACGGGGAGCUGGCAAACAAGCUUUGAUCCGUAGAUGUCCGAAUGGGGAAACCCACCGUAGUAAUACGGUAUCCCAUGCUGAAUACAUAGGCAUGUGGAGGCGAACCGAGUGAACUUAAACAUCUCAGU